rnacentral:lncRNA from 12 species
GGUCUAUUCACCCUCUAGGUGAGGUGCCUGCACUUUCGCAUUCCUGAGUUUUUUCCCGGAUCCUUCCCCAGACUCUCCUAACUAGUUCCUUAACCUAGUGGGACCUGCUUAGGGUCCACACACCCUGCGCCACCUUAUAGGUCCUGAUUCAGGCCAGCCAUUUGUAGCAGUGGUGAACAAAGCAGCACGGACCCCCUUAUGCAUCCAAAGGAGAUUGCUUUAUUGUAGAAAUCACACUCUUUUUAUACCUUUAAUCUUCUCUACCCAAAUAACUGAAACCAAACCCGAAACUAACAGAACUUAACAGAAAGAGGGCACCCAUUGGCUGGCUCAGCUGCAGCGCUGCUGUCCACGUGUCCUUCCACCCAAUCAGCUUCCUGCUUGUCCAUGCAUUCCUCCACCCAAUCAGCUUCCUAAUCAUACACUGUCCAUGCAUUCCUCCACCCAAUCAGUUUCCUGCUCAUACACUGUCCAUGCAUUCCUCCAGCCAAUCAGCUUCCUGCUUAUAUGCUGUCCACGCGUUCUACCACCCAAUCAGCUUCCUGCUCAUACGCUGUCCGCAUGUUCCUCCAGCCAAUCACAACCUUGCUCCCAGCUGUGCUCAUACGCUGUCCGCAUGUUCCUCCAGCCAAUCACAACCUUGCUCCCAGCUGUCACUCUGCUGACUUUCACUCCUCAGCCAACUUCCAACCUGCAGCUGUGCCCUUCCCACAGGGCCUUCUGGGGAAAACCAUACUCAGUGAAAAAUUUAGUUUCCAGCAUCAGCAGAAACUUCAAAUUUCAAAACAGGAGUACAGAGCAUCAUCCAACCAACUCCAUACUCAGUAAAAAAUUUAGGUUCCAGCAUCAGCAGAAACUUCAAAUUUCAAAACCAUACUCAGUGAAAAAUUUAGUUUCCAGCAUCAGCAGAAACUUCAAAUUUCAAAACAGGAGUACAGAGCAUCAUCCAACCAACUAUGUCAACAGGGGACAUCUUUGUGUGUUAAUGGGCACAACUCACACUGAAAAGCUGAAAGGGUUAAGCUCUGGCUAAAGGCAGAUGCUACUCCUGAGGUUCAUUUGGUUCUUCAUGCUCACUUCAGUGAGUCAGAGUUUCUGUACUGGGA